AAACUUGAGAGUUUGAUCCUGGCUCAGAACGAACGCUGGCGGCGUGCCUAACACAUGCAAGUCGAACGAAGGCGCCCCUUCGGGGGCAUCCUUAGUGGCGGACGGGUGAGUAACGCGUGGGAACCUGCCCUGGUGUGGGGAAUAACUACGGGAAACUGUAGCUAAUACCGCAUACGCCCUUCGGGGGAAAGGCUUCGGCCGUACCGGGAGGGGCCCGCGUCGGAUUAGCUUGUUGGUGGGGUAAUGGCCUACCAAGGCCGCGAUCCGUAACUGGUCUGAGAGGACGAUCAGUCACACUGGAACUGAGACACGGUCCAGACUCCUACGGGAGGCAGCAGUGGGGAAUUUUGCACAAUAGGGGAAACCCUGAUGCAGCGACGCCGCGUGGGUGAAGAAGGCCCUAGGGUUGUAAAACCCUUUCAGCAGGGAAGAUGAUGACGGUACCUGCAGAAGAAGCCCCGGCAAACUCCGUGCCAGCAGCCGCGGUAAUACGGAGGGGGCUAGCGUUGUUCGGAAUU
rnacentral:rRNA from 1 species